rnacentral:rRNA from 1 species
CAGUCGCCACGGUAAUACGAAGGGGGCUAGCGUUGCUCGGAAUGACUGGGCGUAAAGGGCGCGUAGGCGGCGAUCAAAGUCAGGCGUGAAAUUCCUGGGCUCAACCUGGGGGCUGCGUUUGAUACUUGGUUGCUAGAGUGAGGAAGAGGGUCGUGGAAUUCCCAGUGUAGAGGUGAAAUUCGUAGAUAUUGGGAAGAACACCGGUGGCGAAGGCGGCGACCUGGUCCUUGACUGACGCUGAGGUACGAAAGCAUGGGGAGCAAACAGGAUUAGAUACCCCCGUAGUCCCUGUCUCUUAUAA